ensembl:lncRNA
AUGGAGUCCCCUUAUUUUCUGCCACUGCUUGCCACUCUACAGAUAUUUUUCCUGUGCGGGUCACCUGCAGACCUUCCUGCACCCCCCAACAUCUUUGUGAGCCCAGAGAAAAUGGAAUAUCUCAUUGGAGAUGCUGUCUCCUUCCGAUGUGAGGCUCCCUCUUCAAAGGCCAAGGUACAGGGCUUUCAGUUCUCAGGGACAGCUGGAUGGGCUGUGGAUAUUCGGACCUUCAGGAAAGCCUACACCUACAGCUUCAAUAUCACAGGGCCAAAGGAUGGUGGGUCACACACAUGCAGAUAUACCGUAACAGACCGGCUCCUCAGACCAGUCCGGUCUAAGGAAAGCAAAGCGAUCAUCAUCAAUGUUAAAGACCCCCCACUGCCUCCCAUGCUGUCUCUGAACACUUCCAGUGGAGUUGUGAGUGAGGGCUACCCUCUUCUCUUCAUCUGCAUGGCUCCUGGAAACACAGUGGAGCGUAGGUUUCACUUCUACAAAGAAGGAGCUGAGGUCAUCCCUGGAGCUGAGGUCAACUCAUCAGAGACGAGUGCUCAACUCUGCAUCCCACAGAGCAGUCAGAAUCACACGGGGAAUUUUACUUGUGCCUAUGAGGAGGAAGUAGAGGGGCGUUGGAUCUUGUCCUUUGUGAGCAGUAUUGUGACUGUCUUUGUGAAAGAGCCUCCUUUUGCUCCUGAACUGGGAGUGGAUCCUUCCUCUGCUGUGGUGACUGAAGGCUACCCCUUACGUCUCACCUGCAUUGCCUUCAGGGAUGACUCGAGGCUGAGAUUUCACUUCUACAGGGAUGGGGUCGAGAUCCCACCAGGACAGGCAGGCUCAGAGACUACUGCCAUGAACCCUGGGAAUUUCACUGAGCUGCUGUUCCCGCAGACUCCAAGGAGGUUCAGUGGGAAAUUCACUUGUGGAUUUGAGGAGGAUGUGGACGGGACAUGGGUGCCAUCACCCCAGAGCAAGGUUCUGGAGGUCACUGUGAAGGAUCCCCCUGCUCAGCCAGAUCUGAUCUUGAACCCCGCAUCUGGAGAAGUAAGGGAAGGGGACCCUUUACUUAUCACUUGUGUAGCCUACGGCACUAGUGGUGAAUGGAAGUUUUACUUCUAUAAAGAUGGGACAGAACAAUUCUCAGAGGCUUGCACAAGGACCCGCUCUUUCUUCAGCAUCCCAGCAGCCAAACCAACUGUGACAGGGCAAUUCACCUGCAGGUAUGAGGAGAGAGUCAGUGGGAAGUGGAUCCCAUCACCCCUGAGCCAGGCAAUGAUGGUUACCAUGCACGCCUCAUCUCUACCCAUCCCAUUGGUGACUGGAUGUGCAGCUGCUGCAGCUGCUCUGGUCGUGGUGUUGCUGCUGGCUGCCUUUAUCUGCCAGAGGAGGAGAGGCCAUGUUCACUGGAAGGGGCUCCACAACAAAGAUGACACAAGUGCUUAUCCUCUGGCCCUGCACUUCCUCUCUCUUCCGCUCAUGACCACCCAACUCAAGUCAGAUGGACAGAGAGGGAAGGACGGAGUGACUAGGCAGCAAGUUACUCUCCUGGACAGUCCAGUGCAGAGCACUGAGCUCCUGCUGCGCCACAGUGGCAUGUUAAUCUCCCACUUCAUGAUGCUCCUCACCACUGUGCAGCUCCAGCUCUGCCAGAUGGUCCAUGAGGAAGUGAACGCAGCUGUAGCCCCUGCUCCAACCCUCUCGGUGCUGCAGGCAAAGGAGGAGUAUUUUCUUGGAGAGUCUGUCACGCUGGUGUGCACCACUCCAGCCAACAUCACUGGGAAGCGUUUGUACCAACUUUUUGGUGAGGCCGGCUGGGCACUAUCAGAGUUUAGCUGGAGGAACAACUACACCUACACGUUCACCCUCUCCCAAAUGCAGCACAAGGGGCCGCAUUUAUGCACCUACACCCUCCAGAAAGCCCAGAGGUCAUUCAAAUCCCCACCCAGCGAGGAACUGAUGAUCAGUAUUGCUGAUCAUCUUCCACAGCCACUGCUGAUGGUGGAGUCCCCGCUGGGAGAGGUGAUGAAAGGAGAUCUCCUAAGGAUCAUCUGUAAGGCCCCUGGAAAUGCCACCGAGCGGAGGUUUCACUUCUACCGGAAUGGAGAAGAGGUUGCCCCCAGGAAGGUGGGCUCUGAGAACAACAUAUCUGAGAGAGAGGGCAUUUUGAAGAAUGCCAUGGUCCUCCACUUUCUACACGCUGGUCCCCAACACAGUGGAAACUUUACCUGCAAGUAUGAGGAAAAGAUGCAGGAGAGAUGGAUCCCCUCCCUCACAAGCCAAGCCAUAAAUAUCACUAUUAAUAGCAACAAGAGGGGAAACAGCUGCUUCCUCAUUUUACGGUUAUUGGUUGUGGGUGGCUGCUUCUUCACCAUCAAUAGCCUCAUCCUCGUCUUCUUCUGGAUGUGGGUGAAAGACAAAGAUUCCUCAUUACAGUUUGAAGCCAGACUCCUUGGGACCUCCCAAACAGCCUGUAGAUCCUUGUCCACCCUGCAACUCCAACCCAGCCCUCAGCAUCAUAAGUAG